rnacentral:rRNA from 1 species
CAGUAGCCACGGUAAUACAUAGGGGGCAAGUGUUAUCCGGAAUGACUGGGUGUAAAGGGUGCGUAGGCGGUAAGGUAAGUCUGAUGUGAAAGACUGGGGCUCAACUCCAGGGGUGCAUUGGAAACUAUGUUACUAGAGUACAGGAGAGGGAAGCGGAAUUCCUAGUGUGGCGGUGAAAUGCGUAGAUAUUAGGAGGAACACCGGUGGCGAAGGCGGCUUUCUGGACUGAGACUGACGCUGAGGCACGAAAGCGUGGGGAGCAAACAGGAUUAGAUACCCGGUAGUCCCUGUCUCUUAUACA